AACCCGAGAUGUCUGGGGAUGUGAGUCAGGCGCGCUACUCCCUGAGCCACCAGAGCCCCGCAUAUUGCACAAUACUUAUAUAUAUUUGCGACGAAAAUAAAAUUUGAAUAUGUCCGCCAAGACGAAGUCUUAAAUCAAGAAGCAUAAAAUGAAUAUGAAAUGUUCUUCCAUCUGCGCUCGUGACUGUUUUAUUAAUAUAAUAAAACGAAUAAAAGCAUGAAGCAACAAUUAUAUUUGAUAUAUAUAUUUUGCAUAUAUUAAAUUUGUUUCUAAAAUAAGUACAAGGAAUUACCCAAAAAUAAUGGAAAGAAUAAAAAGAAAUACGAGCCAUGAAUUUUAGAAAGAUGUAAAAAAUAUAUAGCAAACAGAGCAACAGACAUGGAUGAAGUCUAUAUGUCUUUUCCUUUUCUUUCUUUAAAAAAAUAUAAACAAAGAGAAGAACGAACUUUUUAUAGAUAUAUUUUAGAUAUUGGACCGAUCAGCUCUCUUUCGAAGAUAUAAAUAAAUGAAACGAUAAGAGAUGACGAAUGAUUCAGUUGUCUUCGAUCGUAAAGGAAACAAAAAGUUCUUCUCCGGUUCGUUAAUUUCAACGAUUGCAUAAAUUAUACGUAUCAAAAGGAAACGCAUUAUGU